GGGGGGGGGGGGGGUUGUGAGUAAAGCUUCCCUGGAGUGGCCACUUGGGCGGUGGCCUCCCCCCAAGGUCAGGGGCCCUGGGUGCCAGCUCCUGCUCUGACGCACCCUCGGUGCAGGUCGCUUGCCCUUUGGAUGCCUCAAGGUUGGCGAUGGUUCCCGCGGGCCCGGCUGACCCCAGGUCCAUGCGGACCUCACGCCCGUGUCCUGAAGCCGGGCCGGCUGCUGCGUGGCUGCCGGGGCGAUCAGAGGGGCAGCCUCUGGGGCCACGGGGCCGUGCCCUUGGCCAUGGUGCCAGGGCGUGCUCGGCGUGGCUGAGCCCGGGACAAGGUGUCCAGGGGCUGCUGACCCCUCCCUGGGGCACUCGUUUUGACCCUCCUGGAGGCCUCGGGGACAGACCUAGAAUGUUCCCAUUUGGGACUGAGUCUCGGGUCUCCGGGGUGAGUCAGGAGGAAAAUGAGAGGCCAAGGUCACGGGCGUGAGGCGGGGCGCCAGGCCCUGGGGCUCGGUCUCUACCUCCCUUCCCCGGGUGGCCUGAAGCCCUUCCCCUCCAGCCCUGGAGGAAGUGAGUGCACUGCACAAAGCACAGGAAAAGGCCGGCCCCUGGGACGGGUGGAGACCUUUCUUCCCAGAAGAGGAAGCCGUGGCCACUUCCAGGCAUCUUCACACCGAGGCCCUCAGGGACCGCGCCGUCAGCUCCCCCCGCGCGGCCCAGGACGGUGGGCAGAAGGGCACAGGCCUCCACUUCACCAGCCUGUCGGGGAGGAGGGCGCACAGGGCUUCACCCCUUAUGGAUUCUGCCUCCUCGUUAGCUUUUAAGGACUAGCAGAGAGGAUUAAGCAGUGCGGAAGGAAAAUCUAGACCAAAGGAGAAGGAAGUGGGGAGAGGGAGCUGUAGCAGUUUGAUAUUUUUAUGAAUUCCAAAAAUAAAUAUUGGAUUAUGUUUGUAAACUGGUUUGUCUGAGGUUUUACUUUUACUUGAUUAAAUUAUGAUUAGGGGGAAGCUGACUUGGCCCAGUGGUUAGGGCAUCCGCCGACCACAUGGGAGGUCCAAGGUUCAAACCCCGGGCCUCCUUGAGCCGUGUGCAGCUGGCCCAAGCGCAGUGCUGAUGCGCGCAAGGAGUGCUCUACCACGCAGGGGUGUUCCCUUCGUAGGGGAGCCCCACGCGCAAGGAGUGCGCCCCCUAAGGAGAGCCGCCCAGCGUGAAAGAAAGUGCAGCCUGCCCAGGAGUGGUGCUGCACACACGGACAGCUGAUGCAGCAACAAAAAGAAAUACAGAUUCCCGUGCUGCUGAUAAGGAAAGAAGCGGUCACAGAAGAACACACAGCGAAUGGACACAGAGAGCAGACAAUGGGGGGGGGGAGAAAUAAAUAAAAAAUAAAUCUUUAAAAACAAAAACAAAAAAUUAUGAUUAGGGCUUUGAUUGGACCACAUCAUUAGGGCAUUGCAUUCCCACCCCUUAGUGGGUGAGGACUCAGAGAUAAAAGACAUGGCAAAGGACAGAGUUGGGAGUUUUGAUCCUGGAGCCUGGGAAGUAAACACACAGAGAAGCAGAUAUGAGGAAAGAGAGAAGGUUCCGUUAGAUACGGCAGAGGCCCUGGGAAGAGAGAUGAGCCGUUUGCCUGACAGUUUAUAGCUGGCCUUGUGGAGAGAGCAGAGCAGCUGGGCCUGGAGAGAAAUGAGCCCCAGGAGAGAGACGAGACUUAUGCCAGCCUAGAGCUGAGAAGGGAAGAAGCUGAGACCAUGGAGCCUUAAGAGGAAGAGGAAGGCUGAACCCAGAGAAAAGGAAGACCGUGGAAGAGAGGAACCCAGGAAGCCUGAACCCUCACAGACGUCGGCAGCCGUCUUGCUCCAGAUAGACU
rnacentral:lncRNA from 1 species